ACUAAUUUUAGUCCAACUAAACACUAAACAAAAUUAACCCAAACUAAUAAAACAAAACAUUUAAUAACCUUAAAAGUAUAGGCGAUAGAAAUUUAAAUUGGCACUAUAGAGAAAGUACCGCAAGGGAACUAUGAAAGAGUAAAUAAAAGUAUAAAAAAGCAAAGAUUACACCUUCUACCUUUUGCAUAAUGAUUUAACUAGACUAAACUAGCAAAAAGAAUUAAAGUCAGCAUACCCGAAACCAGACGAGCUACCCACGAACAGCCCAAAGAGCGAACUCAUCUAUGUGGCAAAAUAGUGAGAAGAUUCGUGGGUAGAGGUGAUAAGCCUACCGAGCCUGGUGAUAGCUGGUUAUCCAGAAACAGAAUUUAAGUUCUAAUUUAAAUUUACCAAAAAAAUACACAAUUUAAAUGUAAAUUUAAAAAAUAAUCUAAAAGGGUACAGCCUUUUAGAUAUAGGAAACAACCUUAAACAGAGAGUAAAAACUAAAUACACCAUAGUUGGCCUAAAAGCAGCCAUCAAUUAAGAAAGCGUUCAAGCUCAACAACAUAAUAAAAUCUUAAUUCCAAUAAUAAUAAUUUAACUCCUAAAGUCAUACUGGAUUAUUCUAUUUACAUAUAGAAGAAAUACUGUUAAUAUGAGUAAUAAGAAUUUAAUUCUCCCUGCAUAAGUGUAUAUCAGAACGAAUAAAUCGCUGAUAGUUAACAGAUCAUAAUUUAAAUAACAAAUGAAACUCUUAUCUAACAUACUGUUAGCCCAACACAGGAAUGCUUCACGGGAAAGAUUAAAAAAAGUAAAAGGAACUCGGCAAACACAAACCCCGCCUGUUUACCAAAAACAUCACCUCUAGCAUUAAUAGUAUUAGAGGCACUGCCUGCCCAGUGACAUUAGUUUAACGGCCGCGGUAUCCUGACCGUGCAAAGGUAGCAUAAUCACUUGUUCUCUAAAUAAGGACUAGUAUGAAUGGCCACACGAGGGUUUUACUGUCUCUUACUUUCAAUCAAUGAAAUUGACCUUCCCGUGAAGAGGCGGGAAUAAGCAAAUAAGACGAGAAGACCCUAUGGAGCUUUAAUUAAUUAAUUUACAAGAAAUAGCACAAACCUUCAAGGUAUAAAAUAACUUCUUAUAUAAAUUAACAAUUUAGGUUGGGGUGACCUCGGAAUAUAAAGUAACUUCCGAGUGAUUUUAAGCCUAGACUUAUCAGUCAAAGCAACAAUAUCAUUUAUUGAUCCAAAACUUUUGAUCAACGGAACAAGUUACCCUAGGGAUAACAGCGCAAUCCUAUUUGAGAGUCCCUAUCGACAAUAGGGUUUACGACCUCGAUGUUGGAUCAGGACAUCCUAAUGGUGCAACCGCUAUUAAUGGUUCGUUUGUUCAACGAUUAAAGUCCUACGUGAUCUGAGUUCAGACCGGAGUAAUCCAGGUCGGUUUCUAUCUAUUAUAUAUUUCUCCCAGUACGAAAGGACAAGAGAAAUAAGGCCUACUUCAACAAAGCGCCUUAAUACCUAAUAGAUGAUAUAAUCUUAAUCUAUAAACAUAUAACCAAAUUAACCCAAAAACAGGGUUU
rnacentral:rRNA from 1 species